GUAUAUUGCAUUAAAUAUCUCGUUAGGCUUUUUAUCUCUGAGGGGUAUCUGUUCUCCUUGCCCUUCAGAAUAUCUGUUUUCCCUUCCCCUAUCUGGUCUAGAAAAACAUGAGAGGACUGCUCCCAGUAGAUGACGGCACACUAUCUGACGAGAGUGGUGUCACACUAUCUGUAGGGGUCACCCAUGGCUAAGUAAUAUUGUGACUAUUGAUAUCUAUUAAGGCCACUAUAGUUGGUACGGGUGUGGUCAUAGAUUGUACCAUGGUUUGGUUAGCCGGAAAUGGGCUUGAGCAAAUUGUCGUAUCUGUAUCUGCCCU
rnacentral:lncRNA from 1 species